GUCUAUGGCCAUGCUACCCUGAACAAGCCCGAUCCCAUCUGAUCUCAGAAGCUAGCAGGGUUGGGCCUGGUUAGUACUUGGAUGGGAGAUCCAAGGAAGACCAGGUGCUGUAGGUG
rnacentral:rRNA from 1 species